rnacentral:rRNA from 1 species
UACGAAGGGGGCUAGCGUUGUUCGGAAUUACUGGGCGUAAAGCGCACGUAGGCGGAUUGUUAAGUCAGGGGUGAAAUCCCGGGGCUCAACCCCGGAACUGCCUUUGAUACUGGCAUUCUCGAGUCCGGAAGAGGUGAGUGGAAUUCCGAGUGUAGAGGUGAAAUUCGUAGAUAUUCGGAGGAACACCAGUGGCGAAGGCGGCUCACUGGUCCGGAACUGACGCUGAGGUGCGAAAGCGUGGGGAGCAAACGGG